UAAAGAAUUCUUCUCCUAUAUUUCUUUCUUUUCUACAGAUAUGGAUUUUACCCAUCGGUAAUAAUAAUGCCAGACCCUUUAAUCUAGUAUACAAAACCAUCUGAAUUUAUUCAUUAAGUUCUUAAGAUUAAGUUCUAUCAAAUCAAAG